GACGAACGCUGGCGGCGUGCUUAACACAUGCAAGUCAAGCGGUAAGGCCCUUUCGGGGGUACGACGAGCGGCGAACGGGUGAGUAACACGUGGGUGACCUGCCCUCAGCUCUGGGAUAAAGCCUGGGAAAACCGGGUCUAAUACCGGAUAUGACUCCAUGACGCAUGUUGUGGGGUGGAAAGCCUUGUGCGGCUGAGGAUGGG
rnacentral:rRNA from 1 species